GAUGAACGCUGGCGGCGUGCCUAAUACAUGCAAGUCGAGCGAACAGAUGAGGAGCUUGCUCCUCUGACGUUAGCGGCGGACGGGUGAGUAACACGUGGAUAACCUACCUAUAAGACUGGGAUAACUUCGGGAAACCGGAGCUAAUACCGGAUAAUAUAUUGAACCGCAUGGUGCAAUAGUGAAAGACGGUUUUGCUGUCACUUAUAGAUGGAUCCGCGCCGCAUUAGCUAGUUGGUAAGGUAACGGCUUACCAAGGCAACGAUGCGUAGCCGACCUGAGAGGGUGAUCAGCCACACUGGAACUGAGACACGGUCCAGACUCCUACGGGAGGCAGCAGUAGGGAAUCUUCCGCAAUGGGCGAAAGCCUGACGGAGCAACGCCGCGUGAGUGAUGAAGGUCUUCGGAUCGUAAAACUCUGUUAUUAGGGAAGAACAAAUGUGUAAGUAACUAUGCACGUCUUGACGGUACCUAAUCAGAAAGCCACGGCUAACUACGUG
rnacentral:rRNA from 1 species